UCCCCAACGGUUCCAUCCCACUGUUCCUGUCACCAAUGGCUCAUGUUCUUGUCACCAAUGGCUCCACCCCACUGUCCCUGUCACCAGUGGUUCCACCCCAUUGUCCCUGUCACUGACACCAAGAGCUCCACCCCACUGUCCCUGUCCCCAAUGGCUCCUGUCCCUGUCCCAGUGGCUCCAUCCCCCUGUCCCUGCUGUUUAACUGGUGUUAAACAGCACCAGUGCCAAUGCCUGCCCUGGAACACCACUGCUCCCUGGGCGUCCAGCAGCUGCCGGCAGCUCUGAGCGUGACCAUCCAGCCAAUUCCUCAUCCACGAUCCAUCCAACUCCAGUUCAGAGACAGGGAGAGCCCUCAUCUCAAAAUGCACAAAGAUGACCUCAGGAGGACCCUGCUAAACACAGCAGCUCUGUGAUUCUGCAAAAUAUGGCUUGAAAACAGCAAAGAAGAAAGUUUUGGCGUUUUGCUGAUUUAAAAUAUCACAAGAGCAUCCCAGCCUAAAAGUUCUCUUGCCACAGACUGGACAGAAUUGAAUUACAUGCUGAGAAUUACUCACUUACAUGGCUAUGACAAGCAUAAAAAAACCUACAGACUUUAACUAAGGACACCAAGAUAGCCCACACAGCCCUGGGAGCUGAAAUGUGUUAUCUGAUAGAAUAUGAGAACUCUGAUCACAGGAGCCUAUGGCUGGCAACAAGAGUGAAGAAGAACAGUAAAUGCAAAAUGCUGCUGAAAAACAGCCCUGAGAUUCUUUCAAAGAAAAAUCAGAGCUACCUCUGCUCAAAAUACUGUCAUCCUACCAGAGACAGAAAGGAUGAGGGGGUGGCAUUCCAAGGAGGCAGCACAACCUCCUGGCAUGGAGCUCAUUUCUGUGUCUGAGCACAGGAAACCCUCAAGUCUCACAAGCUGUGAGAUGUCUCAGGUUGAGCCUUGCAAGUGCACUGGCGAUGCACAACGUGACACAUUUCAGUACCCUUUAGUGUCAUUAACAGACUGGAUUUACUUUUAGACCAAAUAAAUAGGUAACAUCUUAAUUAUACAAACGUACUUUUCACAGC